rfam:Capsicum annuum cultivar Zunla-1 unplaced genomic scaffold scaffold1058, whole genome shotgun sequence
UCGUUCGUAAAAUGGAGAGAUGGUUGGCGUCUCCCUCGACAGGGAUGGAGAUUCAAACCGGGUUUUACUUGUUGACAUACACAUCCGGUUAAGGCUACCCACCACUUCGGUGGGUCUUACGAACCCAAUGU